rnacentral:tRNA from 1 species
UCGUCUGUAGUUUAAUAAAUACCGGCAUUGGAAGCCGGAGAUCGGGCUCAAUAUAAAUACCUGCGGAUGAA